GAUGACCAUAAGAGUGUGUUGGAUCAGGAACUGGAAUAGCUGAUAAGUACUGGGGACUGCUCUGUGCUGUUAUGAAUGUGAAAUCCUCGAAAUGUCCACUGUAAGCCCUACCACUCAUUUCCGUGAAGGCAGAUGGAGCAGGCAUUGGAUUCAACUUACAUGCGAUUGUCUAGAUUGUGGGUGCUGUGGUGAUCUCCUGUGGAUGGACUGCCACUGUGGGAUAACCUGUGACUCUUCAGCCAUGCGGAUCCUCCGGGCUCGAGCUCGCUCUUGAGCUAUCACUAGAGCCUGCAUGCAACGAAGAGUAGCAGCAGCUUGCUUCCUGACAAGGUGGCCUCUUACCAAAGCUUGCAGCUUUACCAGGCCUCUCAAUGCACACAGAGCUUUUCUUGCCUGCGAUAAGAUUCAUUCUGAUACAUGAAGAUUUUCUUUCUCUAGCAUCAUAAGUUUUUCCUUAUUUUUAUAUAGAUUCCCAAAUAUUUGAUCCCAGCUUUUAGAACUUUUAAUUACAUGCAUUUUUCAGUCUGCUUAUGGCAUAUGCUUUGAAAUUCCUUUUCUUGCUUUACAUAGUGUGCUGCUGAUUCAUAUUCUUUUGUUGAAAAAAAUUUGGCUUUUCAGAAGAUAUUUGUUUCUUACAAGAAAAUGUUGUUGGUUUUUGCUUAUGAUGUAUUUUAUGUUGAUAUCAAUAGAUUCAUUAGAUUUGUUUUACUUGAUCUCGUGAUAAAUCAGAUUGCAGAAGCUAUGAUAUGUAUCAGUUUUUGUAUUUCUCAGGCUAGAUUUUCAUGUUGUUGAUAUUACCUCAUUGCAGAAGCUAUGACAGACAAGCUAAAUUCAAUUAGAGAGAUUAGAGGAGUACCAGGUAGGCACGAAAAGCAGACUGAAUUUUGGUAGCUGCAUCUUCCUUGACAGCAGUGGCUUUUUGUUUAGUGGCAGCGGUUGUGAGGCGUACUACAGCUGCUGCUGCCUGUGCCACAGCAACAGCAGCAUCAGCAGCUGCAGCUGUGGCCACUGCAACAGCCAUUGCAUGCCUUUUAUUGUCAAUCGCAGCCUCCGACAGCCUCUGAAGUGGUGGCACACUUGUGCUCAGUUCUUGUGAACUUAAACUCUUCCCUGCACCUGCCCAUCUCGGAUAUCUCCAUCCCCUUUUCUCCUUGGGAGCAGGCACUGAGAUUGGUGAUGACUGACUAUUGAUUGGCAAUGGAGAGGAAAAUGAUUCAGCUUUCUCUUUCUUUCCAUCCUUCUUCCCCGUCAAGAAGCUCCUGAGCCAUUUGCCUGUCUUCCACAUUUUCCUCUCCUACCACCUCUUAGAGGAGCGAUCAAGAGUCAGUGGCAGAGGAAAGCUAGAUGACACAAGGAUCUCUACAAGAUUGAUUUUAUGGAUUCUUUAUAUAAGACUACUGCAUUUCCUGGAUGCCUUCUGCUGGUGAAGUAAAUGGUGUGAUCCAGCAAUGUUAAUUAGGUACCCAGACAGUGUGAGGAUUAAGGAAUGGGCCAGAGGGCCAUGUGAAGGAAAACACUAUAAACAUGCUGGGGUUGUCAGCAUUUCACAGAGUUCAUCCCAUCAUUGACUUACAGUAACUGAGGCCUUGGCAACUUUUCACCUGGUAGCUGUUGCUGCUGAUCCUGAUGCAUUGUUGGUGCUUGCUCAUGGAAGAACAUGGAUUUGUCACCUUUACAUGGAUUCUAUGAUCUUAACUUGAUGAUGGUUGGAGUAGUUGCUAUGACACACCAGUUGAUUUGAUUGGGAUUACCAUGUCCAUGUGUGGUCAAAUUUCAGUAUUGCGGGCCAGAGACUUGUGCCGAGUAAGGGUCAUCAAUCAUUCAAACAGCAGUCUGAAAUGGUGAUGGUGCUGAUAGGGAAGAGAUCUGACAGCAAGCAGAAGAGUGCAGCAGAAAUGGUGAUGGUGCUGAUGGGGAAGAUCUGAACAGCAAGCAGAAGAGUGCAGCAGAAAUGGUGAUGGUGCUGAUAGGGAAGAUCCGACAGCAAUCUGAAGAGUGCAGCAGGAAACCUCCAAGUGCUGAAGCUAAACAGGAGACGGAGAAAAAGGCCUCGAAAAGCACACACCUAAAGGUUGCUGUGCGGGUUGAUGAUAGCCAAAAUGUGAGGCAUCGAAAGAGGUGCGUUAUGGUAAUCUUGGCUCCAUGUGCGUGCCACAAGCCUUUACUUGCCAAUGCUCGAUGAUCACGAAGGAAUAAUCUUGACCUAACUAAAUAAAUGAUAUCAAAAUCGAACAUUAUAAUCAUUAA